GACGAACGCUGGCGGCGUGCUUAACACAUGCAAGUCGUACGGUAAGGCCCUUUCGGGGGUCCACGAGUGGCGAACGGGUGAGUAACACGUGAGUAACCUGCCCACAACUUUGGGAUAACGCUAGGAAACUGGUGCUAAUACUGGAUAUGUGCUCCUGCUGCAUGGUGGGGGUUGGAAAGCUCCGGCGGUUGUGGAUGGACUCGCGGCCUAUCAGCUUGUUGGUGGGGUAGUGGCCUACCAAGGCGGCGACGGGUAGCCGGCCUGGGAGGGUGACCGGCCACAUUGGGACUGAGGUAAGGCCCAGACUCCUACGGGAGGCAGCAGUGGGGAAUAUUGCACAAUGGGCGCAAGCCUGAUGCAGCAACGCCGCGUGCGGGAUGACGGCCUUCGGGUUGUAAACCGCUUUCAGCAGGGACGAAGCUUUUUGUGACGGUACCUGCAGAAGAAGCACCGGCUAACUACGUG
rnacentral:rRNA from 1 species